GUGACCAUGAGGGGCUGGCUGGGACCCUGCUCACUCCAGAGUCUGCAGACGGGAUCUUGGGAGAACUGGCCAAAGUCCAUGAAAGGCUGGAAUUCUCGCCGCGGCCAGCUGUCUCACAUCUUCGUGUAGUGCCUGGUCUACGCCAGAGAGAAAACGGUAAGCGCUUAUCUUUGUCCCUUCUGUUCCAAAUUCAGACUAGCAGGGGGGAAACGGUUGUAGAAACUAGAUGGUUGAAUUGUGACUCUUGUGGAUUUGAUUUUGGGCAGCCAUUUGUUGACCCUUUCCCUCCAGGGACUCCCCCACACUCUUGCUGUCCUGGUCCUCCUGUGUGUCUCAUCUCUCGCCCUGAAAGCUUGGCGUGGCUUUUCACCACGGGGCGUGCAGGUUAUACACUUGUGUGUGUAGGGCUCAGUUGUCAGGCUGGGGUCCCCAGGAGCGUGGCUGGACACAACUGUGAGUUGCACCCCAUUUGUGGCUAAUCCCACCCCUCCCCCAAACUGGUGCCACCUGUCAGCCGUGUUGUCAGAGUCUCUUCUUGGCUGUUUCUGGCUCUGGAUGGUGGGAGGAUUCCUCUGCACCCUCGUUGGGAAGCUGGUUGUAUCCGUGUCUGAGCCGUAAAAGGCUCAUUGGUUUUAAGUCAUAAAAGGCUUAUUAUCAGUUUGGAAUCACUUGAAACAGGUGCAGCUUUGGUUUAAAAAAAAAAAAAAAGUCGGGGUGGGGGCAGUUCAUGACUGUCAGGGGUAUUUGUUGUCUGUCCUGUCUGAAACCUGGUAAGAUAUUUUAAAGGAGGUCUUUAAAAAAAAAUACAUGGUCAGAAGUUGCCCUCCUUGGAAGCUGAUUUUUUUUUUUUUUUUUAUUUCAGUCGGCCCUUCUCUCUGAUCCUGCUCCUCCCGUGGGAGCUUCUAACCCUUCUCCAGCUCCUGCCCACUGUGUGUCACCAGCUCCCUCUAUGUCCCUUUGUGUCGGCGCGGUUUUGCCGAGGAUAAUUUGGAAUGUCGUUGGCUUCUUUAGGACACUUAGAAUGGCAAACUGCUCCUCUGAGACAUCUGUCUGCCUGUGGCUUCUCCUCCUCUGUCUUCCUCUUGCUCCCUUGAUCCUCCAUUCAGUCCCCUGGGUCCCUCAACAGGUAACCACCCCCCCCAGCCCCUAUCUCAUCUGUCCUUCUGUCCAUGCUGCCAGACCUCUUUCCACUCCAGCUCCACAGACACUUGAACUUCAGACUUCCUAGCAUUAUCAGGCUGAGAAGAAAAAAGGCCAAUUGGAAACUGAUUUAAUAUUUUAUCUGCUCAGAUGCGCAGUGGAGACUGCACUAAAUGUCUCUUCAGUCACUUGUGUAAAAUGUAGCUUACAACCCUCAUAAGAUUACGAGUCAGGGCAAAUGAAACUCCUCUAAGCCUUCUCCAAAAAUAUUAGUCAAAGCAUUAGCCCUCAUCGUGAGGAGGUAACCCCCAAUUUACCCUCUUUGUCACAAACGCAAUUCAGAUAAAAAUAUAAAGUGGAUAAAAACCAGUGAGUUUGUUUUAUUAUGUUUUAUGGACACAUCGCUAAAAUUUUAUUUUUUUAAAUUUUGGAGAGAGAGUGUAUGUGAGCAGGGGAGAGGGGCAGAGGGAGAGAGAGAGAGAAUCUUUUUUUUUAAUUAAAAAAAUUUUUUUUUAAAUUUAUUUUUGAGACAGAGAGAGACAGAGCAUGAGCAGGGGAGGGGCAGAGAGAGAGCGAGACACAGAAUCAGAAGCAGGCUCCAGGCUCCGAGCUGUCAGCACAGAGCCCGACGCAGGGCUCAAACUCAUGAACGGUGACAUCAUGACCUGAGCUGAAGUCGGAUGUUCAACCGACUGAGCCACCCAGGCGCCCCGGGAGAGAGAGAGAAUCUUAAGCAGGCCCCAGGCUGAGCCGAUGCAGGGCUCUAUCCCAUGACCCUGGGAUCAUGACCUGAGCCGAAAUCAGGAGUCAGAUGCUUACCUGACUGAGCCACCCAGGUACCCCACCGCUAAAAUUCUAGAGUGGAAGCUGUGAAAUCUUUGUGUUUGUAUGCAUCUGUAGGUUAUGUGUAUGUGAUAUUUUUCUAUCUCGGGAAAGUAUUACCAGGUUCAUUUAUACAAUCCCUUAAAGGAGGUCUUUUCAAGUUGGCUUGGAGAUAAAUGAGCACUUACAUAAAUUCAAGUAUUGCUACAACUCUGCUACAACUCUAAGGAAUAUAGAAACUGACCCAAGCCUUUUAUUUUAAAGUUCACAUGAUUCUGGGUUAACCUCUGGUAAAUAAAGCUAGCUUUAAGAUUGUUAAUAAAAUCAAAACAGAUAAAUUUUUAAGGUUGUCAGCCUUAAAUAUAAUGCAGCCAUACAGUUUUUUCCUACCUGGGUUUACUGGUCACAUGAGCUUAUGUUAUCUCUAGUAAAUGCAUAAGGUUAUGGAAAUGUAAAUCCAACCUAAGAGCAAAAGGUACAAUCAAAAUAAAUUGAUAUAUGUCAAGGACAACAGUAAAAUAAAAAAAAAAAAAAAGAAAGAAAGAAAGAAAGACGGGAGACAUCAAGUAUUUUUCAUGCCUGCCUGAUUUGUCCACAAGAAAAAUCAUUUAAAAUGAUGGAUAGUUUUCUUUAAUAUCUCACAAAAUUUUCAUGAUUAAUUCAGGCAUACUUGUUAAGAACAAGUGAAUUAAUGUAAGAGAGGUAAAAGUUUAUGAGCUUUUUAAAAACAAUCUUGUUGUAUAAUAUGUGUACUUUAAAAAAAUUUUUUUUAAUGUUUAUUUUUGAGAGAGAGAGAGGCAGAGCACAAGUGGGGAAGGGGCAGAGAGAGAGGAAGACACAGAAUCGAAAGUAGGCUCCAGGCUCUGAGCUGUCAGCACAGAGCCCGACGUGGGGCUUGAACUCAGGAGCUGGGAGAUCAUGACCUGAGCUGAAGUCGGAUGCUUAACCGACUGAACCACCCAGGCUCCCCUGUCCACUUAAAAAGAGUUUCCAAAAAUUUUUUGAUAACUUGAAACAUUAAAGCUAUCCUAAGUUAAAUGAUGGAUAUUCACUGAAUAUCUACACCAUUUCCAUAUAAGAUAAAGCACUGGAAUACUAACUGCAGAACAUAAAUUUAUGUACGUUUUGCUUCUUAAAUUUUAUAGAGAGACAAGAGAUAUUUAUGUGCAUCUAUUUAGCAAACAUGUCCUUUGUCACAUCCAAAAGUUGUACUUAGAAGAAGCAUAUGCCUCUAGAAACUGAAGUAAUGAAUUCAUAGAUUCGCUAGUUUACUACAGGAUGUUAGCAUGUGGCAGACAGCUCAUAAUUGCCUGCUUCCUAGUUUUCACUGAAAAUUAGGGUUACUGAGGGUUAAACAUUCUUAUAGAUUGUGUAAAUGAAACUACUAGAAAUAAUAAAGGCAAAGAAGAAAAGUAUGCAAACUAUGCAAGGAAAAUGUGUUUAUGAUAAGAAAAAGUAUAUAAGGUGUAAAGGAUAUAUUUUUGUUAGGAGAGAAAGUAAUUUGUCCUAAUAUAGGAUAUGGCUGGCUGUUCUAGAAUAGAAAAAUGAAAAGAGUAGGUGGAUGAAAAAUGAAAACUAGGUAGAUACAUUUUUUAAAAGUUUGUAGAAGGGUUGAGGAAAAGGGAUUUUAUUGUGUUGUCAAGCUGCCAAGAUUGAAUAGCUUUAUUUGUAAAGUAAAAGAUGAACCUUAAUAUCAGAAGUAUACUGAUGUAAAACUAGAAUGAUGAAUUUUCUUGGCUUAUUGGUGUGCUUUCAUUAAGAAAUUGUAAAAAGAUUUUUUAAGUAAUUUUCCUGGGGAACCAAAAUUUUAUUAUCAGAAUGAUUUCCUGGGCUUCAUGUUGUGCGUAUCAGGUCUUUGGUUACUUAAGAAAACCAAAUCUUCUCAAUAUUAAAACAGCUAAGGGUUUUUUCACAACUAUGUUACCUUCUGUAUCUGCCUUUAGGAACUUUUUGUCAUUUUGGUUAAAUAGAUAAUUAAGUAUUAGAAUGAUCUAUGGUGCUAUUUGAUCAAGCAUUCAAAUCUGUUGACGGUUUUGACCAGUUUUCCAAAAUCCAAUUCUAAAUAAAGUCUUGGUGACUUAAACUGACUUGAGCUUUUAAAGAAAGUCCCUGGAAAAUCUCAAAGGAUUUGUUUCUCACUUUGUAAAAGAGAGAGAUGUUAAACUAAUUGGGCUUAUUUGGUGUAUUAAACUGUGUUGCAAGUAUUGUCAAAUCAAGUGACGAUAAGCUUUCUUUAGGUUAUAAUGUAUGGAUAUGUGCUAUUAAUAUAAAUAUAAAUAUUUCCGAAUUGUAUGAAGUUCAUGGAAAUUCAUCAGCACUUUUGAUGUUUAUGAGGUGUUCAGCAUCAGGUUAUCAGUCAUACUUCUGGUUAUUAUGUCACUGAAGUACCGUGCCUUGUCAGUUACGUCAGAGUGACCUCAUCAGACCUUUAACCAGGGCCAUUUUACGGUCUUGUGUCGUGUACGGACUGGUGGUGGUGGUGGUGGUGGUGGUGUUUAACUCCUGAUCCUUGUCUGAAAGUGUUUACAGUCAGCUACAGGCCACAGUGCCCAGUGAUGCCCUCCCAUGAAUGACUUUGAGACCAUGCCAGUGGUCUGAGUAAUUUUCCAAACUGAUGAAGUUUGCGGGUUCCUAAAACUGCUGAUCAAAGAUCAGCCAGAAAAAGAAUUAAUUACAUGAGACUGAACUGCUGAGGAGAGUUAUAAUUUUUUUGACAACUUGUUGUUUGAAACAUUGCUCAUUCUUUAAUGUUUGGUUUUUCUCUUAAACUGUCUGUUACUUACAGCAGUUUGGUAAAGUAUAGUGUUGUGAACGGAGAUGAAACAAUGACUUUUUCUCCCUCCCUGGUCCUUCCAGAACCCCGAGACUCUUACUGCCUUUUUAUUUUCAUGGCAAUAUCGUUAUUUCCAUAGGUCCUACAAGAAUCUCUUUUCCUUGUAAUAGGAUGUCAUUGAAAGCUUUGGUUAUAUUACCGAUGUUGACUCGACUGUCAUAUUUGGGAAUGAUGUAUACAAUUAGAUGUGACCAGACGGUUUCAAGGAACUAAGAUGGUCUUUAUAGAGUGGUGGUAAUGAAACUCUCUUGGGGGAAAAACUGGCCUGGUAUCUGGCUUACAGGUUUCCCAGCCUUGUAAGUGGGUAAGGAAUGUCGCUUGCUGGGAGGCCCAGGAACCUUAAAAUAUUUUGGGACCCUUAGGAAGAGAGGAAUUCAGCCAAAUCUAUAGGUGCUGAAGGCAAAAUAUAGUGGCAGUUUCCUGGCUUGGCUUCCCAGCCAUGAGAAACUUUGGAAGCUGAGAGUCCUUAAAAAUUGCAGCAAAGCAUGGGGCACCUGCGUGGCUCAGUCAGUUAAGCGUCCGACUUCGGCUCAGGUCAUGAUCUCGUGGUCCGUGAGUUCGAACCCCACGUCGGGCUCUGUGCUAACCACUCAGGUCCUGGAGCCUGUUUCAGAUUCUCUGUCUCCCUCUGUCUCUGACCCUCCCCCGUUCAUGCUCUGUCUCUGUCUCAAAAAUAAAUAAAUGUUAAAAAAAAAAAUUAAAAAAAAAAUUGCAGCAAAGCAAACUUAAAAAUUUCAGUCACUUUGGCCACAGAACACAAAUGUUGUAGCUGCACUUGUGUAAAUAAUCAGGCCACUUAUUGAGGCUAGGCUUAUUUUGCAAACAAAUACUUUCUUAUCUUUGAUAGAAAUGGGAGUGACUAAAGAGAGAAAAAUAGUAUUUCAGGAGCUAACUGUAGUCGAUUGAGUUGAAGGUUUUCAUUAGGAAAUUGUAAACUUUCUUAAAGUAUCUGUCUAUAGAGUGGGCUGGAUCGUGAGUUCUUCCGGUUUUCUCAGUACCUGGCUGUAAGACUCCAAAUUAACAUUUCUAAUUUUUUCCCUACCCUUUCGCUUUCCCUUUGGGACCAUUCAGAACUAAAACUGUCCUUUUCUUGAACCGUGCAAGCUGAGGCUAGCUGACCUGAUGUGACCCAGCAGGUCACGUGUGAGCUCCCUUCCUGCCUGUAGCUGUGUGGGCCACUCGGGAAGUUCAUGGGGUCACCCGAUGGCCUCACACAGACGUUCGAACUGCAAAGCCGGAGAAUCUGUUGCAAUGUCGCCCCUGUCCUCACUCCACCGUCUGAAAGAUGCUUUGAGCCGAGCAGGUAGAAUCUUACCUGACUGCCUUCUGGACUCAGAAACUGAGUUUAUAGUUUGUUCUAACCAUCUUUGUUUUCCUCCUGCUUCUAGGGAAACGUCCCUUCUUAAAGGCCUGAUUGUUCACACCAUACAGAGACCUAAUGGGGGGGGGGGUGCCUACUCACACCUGCACUACCACCUCCUGAAACGAGACGCUGUUCACUGGGUCACUAGGUUAGAGGACAGUCCACCAGCUCGGUGUGUGGAGCGUGAAACCUGCUGGGAAAGUUUCACACGGGAGAAUGACAGGGUUCAGGACGUGCUACCCCAGAAUAUGGCCCUUUGGCACGUUGAAUUUUAUAAACGGAAGGAAUUCGAGAAAUGGCACGUGCAGGGAGGACUGUUUGACCUUCCCUGAAGUGGGUCUAGACCCUCAAAUGGGAGGUGCCCUCCCUGUGCCGGAGGAAAGGAGUACCCUUGUCUCCAAAGAGGAGGGACACCGAGAAGACUGUUUCCCCACUUACCCCUCUCAGCUCACAUUCCUUUUUGUCCUAUUGCAUUUUUUUUCAUUUUCUCUUUACUUUUGAUCAAACCUAGUAUAAGAAUUUAGUAUAACUAUUUCUUUGGUCUUCAUUUCCUUAUGAAGCUUCCUGUAUCACGUAAAGUUUGUAUGAAGUAAAUUUGUAUGCUUUCUUUCGUGAAUUUGUCUUUUCUUAUAGAGACCCGUGUGAGAACUUAGAAAGGUAGAAGGGAAAUGGAUUUUCUCCCCUAUAAGAACCACCAGAUGACUUCCAAAAAAACUUUUGAAUACUCCCCUUUCUGGAGGCUUUUUUUUUUUUUUUAAUUUUUUUAAAUGUUUUAUUUACUCUUUUUUUUUUUUUUUUCAACGUUUAUUUAUUUUUUUUUUGGGACAGAGAGAGACAGAGCAUGGACGGGGGAGGGGCAGAGAGAGAGGGAGACACAGAAUCGGAAACAGGCUCCAGGCUCCGAGCCAUCAGCCCAGAGCCUGACGCGGGGCUUGAACUCACGGACCGCGAGAUCGUGACCUGGCUGAAGUCGGACGCUUAACCGACUGCGCCACCCAGGCNNNNNNNNNNNNNNNNNNNNNNNNNNNNNNNNNNNNNNNNNNNNNNNNNNNNNNNNNNNNNNNNNNNNNNNNNNNNNNNNNNNNNNNNNNNNNNNNNNNNNNNNNNNNNNNNNNNNNNNNNNNNNNNNNNNNNNNNNNNNNNNNNNNNNNNNNNNNNNNNNNNNNNNNNNNNNNNNNNNNNNNNNNNNNNNNNNNNNNNNNNNNNNNNNNNNNNNNNNNNNNNNNNNNNNNNNNNNNNNNNNNNNNNNNNNNNNNNNNNNNNNNNNNNNNNNNNNNNNNNNNNNNNNNNNNNNNNNNNNNNNNNNNNNNNNNNNNNNNNNNNNNNNNNNNNNNNNNNNNNNNNNNNNNNNNNNNNNNNNNNNNNNNNNNNNNNNNNNNCCCCCCCCCCCCGCCCUUUUUUAAUUUAUUUAUUGUUUAUUUUACAUCCAAGUUAGUUAGCAUAUGGUGCAACAAUGAUUUCAGGAGUCGAUUCCUUAGUGCCCCUUACCCAUUUAGCCCAUCCCCCCCCACAACCCCUCCAGCAACCCUCAGUUUGUUCUCCAUAUUUAUGAGCCUCUUCUGUUUUGUCCCCCUCCCUGUUUUUAUAUUAUUUUUGUUUCCCUUCCCUUAUGUUCACCUGUUUUGUCUCUUAAAGUCCUCAUGUGAGUGAAGUCAUAUUAUUUUUGUCUUUCUCUGACUAAUUUCACUUAGCAUAAUACCCUCCAGUUCCAUCCACGUAGUUGCAAAUGGCAAGAUUUCAUUCUUUUUGACUGCCGAGUAAUACUCCAUUUGUAUAUAUGUACCACAUUGUCUUUAUCCAUUCAUCUGUUGAUGGACAUUUGGGCUCUUUCCAUACUUUGGCUGUUGUUGAUAGUGCUGCUAUAAACAUUGGGGUGCAUGUGUCCCUCUAUCCCUUGGAUAAAUACCUAGUAGUGCAGUUGCUGGGUCAUAGGGUAGUUCUAUUUUUAAUUUUUUGUGGAACCUCCGUACUGUUUUCCAGAGUGGCUACCCCAGUUUGCAUUCUGUCUGGAGGCUCACUUUGACUAUACUUUUGAGGAAGAAAGAAAAGUCUGAAAACAGAUUUCUUUUUAACAUUUAUUUAUUUUGAAGGGAAGAGGGGCAGAGAGAGAGAGAGAGGAGAGAGAGGGAAACCUAAGCAGGCCCCACACUGUCAGCGUGGAGCCCGACACGGGGCUCAAUCCCAUGAAAUCAUGAGAUCAUGAGCUGAGCUGAAACCAAGAAUCGUAUGUUGAACUGAGUGAGCCACCCAGGCGACCCCAAAAGGAUGAACAUUAAGUAAGUCCUUCUGGACUGUCUACCUUUUUGUUGAGGGACAUUUCACGGACUCUGGUCCUGGGUUAACAGUAUUGAAUAGUGGGGUGUCCCCCCCCCCCACUAGGUUGUAGGACCAUUUUUCUACAUUUGCAAACUGUGAGCGGGGCCCGGGGGGAGGGGGAGGAUUGGCCCGAGGAGGGGUUGGAGGACGGGCUCAGGCUGGGGCCUUGCUGGGCCUUGUUCUGGAGAGCUGACGCCCCUUUCGCUGCCCCCUGCUUUCCUCGGGCGGACACGGCUCUGCCACGACCCACACUACGGUACGAAGCAUGGAGUUCACUUCACGUGCCCCAGGUGGGCUCUGAAUCCACCUGCCGGCAUCCAGGUUCGUGUUUCCUCCGCGACCGUGGGUGCGGUGGAAGUGGAGCCGGACGACGUGGGCCUGACUCUUGGCCUGUCCUCUGAUUUGUGGCCCUCUGAGCGAGUAGUUCUCAGUCUUCCUCAAUCUUAGUGAAGAAAUAGUUCUCAGUCUUAGUGAAGGGAUUCCUCCUGCCGGUGGCUGUCGCAGCGAGGCCUGAAGGCGAGGCCGAGGGAGCCACAGAGCUGUGCGUGGCCGGCGCGAGGCUCGGAGGUGGGCGGUGUGCCGCGGUGCCCUUAACGCCGGUCCUGAGCGGGACCUCUUGUCACACGCGCUUAUCUCCUUUUGUUCGUUUCGGAGUUUAAGAACUUUUAAUCAUUUUCUUGCUGUUCAACCCUUGUCCUCGGAAGUUGGGGUAUUUCUUCUCCAUCUGAGAAAAGACUGUGAACAAAGCAUGGCACCCUACCCUGUAGCGGGAUGGAUAGGCUCACUCUCGGGGGCUCAUCGCUGCAGGAAGAGGCCGGAGGCUCGCUCUGGGCUCUCUGAGUUCUCUAUCUGCCUCCAAUGAAAAGGAAUGAGGUAAUAGAUGGGAAUCUGGAGGACGCAGAUGCGGAAACGAGGGAUGUGGGGGUAGCAGUUGGGCAAACAGGAAUGCAGACUUGGCGGUUGAAUGGCGAAUUCAGAAAAGGAGUUUGGUCUGGGUCCGAGGAAAGAUAACGUAGACGUGAUGGGGUGCGUGGGCCUCUCCGUUGAGACGUCUUAUCAGAGCCAGGUAGCGUACCCCUAACGUGUCCUGCAGGCCGCCUGCUUUCCAGAUGCUACGCUGUUUGUGUCGCGUACGUAAGUCCACAUUCAUAUACGCAGAGAUGGUAGUUAGGACUUUAUGGUUGAAGAUGAUGCCCAUAUCCUUCUCUUUAAUAAGCAAAAUAUAUCCUUCAGUUCAUUUUUCUGAAAGUAUUUGACUCUUCUGUAAUCAUAAUCUUUAAUUACAUAUUACAUAUUACAUAUUAUAAUCUUCUGUAAUUACAUAAUCUUUAUGUAAUCUUUGGUAAGAUUACAUAAGAGUUACUGAUACUGGGCAAGUUACUCAAUUCCCCCCCCCCCCUUUUUUUUAAGUUUAUUUAUUUUGGGAGAGAGAGCAUAAGCAGGGGAGGGACAGGAAGAGGGAGAGAGAGAAUCCCAAGCAGGCUCUGUGCUGUCAACGCAAAGCGUGAUGCAGGGGCUCGAACUCAUAAACUGUGAGCUCAUGACCCAAGCUGAAAUCAAGAGUCAGACGCUCCCUGACUGAGCCACCCAGGUGCCCCCGAGUUACUCAACUUCUGGUGAAUGUUCACUGUUUUUUUAUCAGCGGCAAAAAUAAAAUGUUGCGGGGUUGUUGAGAUGAAAAAUCAUGUUAAAAGUACUGGGUACUGGGGCGCCUGGGUGGCUCAGUCGGUUGAGCGUCCGACAUCAGCUCAGGUUAUGAUCUCAUCGUCCAUGGGUUUGAGCCCCGCGUCGAGCUCUGUGCUGACAGCUCGGAGGCUGCUUCCCUGUCUCUGUCUCUCUCUCUGUCUCUCUCUCUCUCUCUCUGCCUCUCUCUCUCUCUCUCUCUCUCUUCCCCUCCUCCACUCAUGCUCUGUCUCUCUCUGUCUCUCAAAAAUUAAUAAACAUUAAAAAAAAUUAAAAAAAGUGCUGGGUACAGUGGCAGCAUUAACAGGAACCAGUUAAUGGUGGUUAAUUUUUAUCUAGGUUAAUUUUAUCUAAUUAAUUUUUAUCUAGGUAAAAGUGUUCAUGUGUAACUAUUUGUGUGUCAUUGAGAAUAAGUUCCUUUGGUGUGAGCAUUCCACAUUCCCAUCUUGUGGGUUUCAGUGUUUGCUUUUAGGCUGAAUAUCUGUUAUGCUCUUUCACAGAUAGAUUUCUGAGAGUGCAGACACUGCAUUCUGCUGGGUUGUACACCCGUUGUCAGAACCAGCUUCACUGAACAAAAGGUGAUUUCAGAUUUUGAAAGGGUCACUUAUUCUUUAAUUUUACUUGGGUUAUAUUUGGAUCCUUGACCAAGGUAAUGAAUAAUCUUCUCAAACCAAGUUGGAGUCAUCAGGACCAUGAGAUACACCGGUCGUGAUGUCUUCUCUCUGUACCAGAGUCGUCGUCUCCUCCCUCCACCAUUGGUAAUACAACUGAAGUGAGCUUUCCAGCUCUGAUCACCACUACUGCGCUCUAUGAAAUGGACGGUGGGAAUAAGUUGUUGCCUUGCAAACAUUUAAAAACUUGUUCUGUACUUCAAAAAUCUGUUUCAUUUUCAGUAAAUGUACUGAAGUGGUAAUGUCUGAGCAGACUUUCAGAUCCACUUGGGACCAGAACUUUGUUCUCAUGUGGAGGGAAAAAUUUCUUAAACCAUUUAACACAUGGGAAUGACUAAUUACAAGACAAAGCUUGCCUUCCCUGGAAGAUGGAACAGCAUAGUGGAAAGAGCCCAGGAUGGAAACCAGUGUACGACCUCUACUUGCCCUUGUUUUCACUAACUGGCUGGAGGACCUUAAAAGCAACACUUUUGAUUUCUGAGUUUUUGUUAUUAUUAGUGUAAAAUGAGGGAUUUGGAAUUAAAUACUGAGAGCGCCUUCCAUACCUAGAUAGAUGUGGAUAGAUGUUUAUUACAGGGAUUGGCUCACGCGGUUAUACAGGUUGAGAAGUCCCACAAGCUGCCGUCUGUAAACCGUAACCAGGGCCGUUGAUAGUGUCCUCAAGUCUAGGUCUGAAGGCCUGGGGAUCAGGGAGGAUGUUGAUGGUUAAGUCCUCAUAGGAGUCCAGAGGCCUGGGGACCGGGAGCGCCAGCGUCUGAAGGCAGGCAGAUGGAUGACCUAGAUCAAACACAGGGUGAAUUCACCCUUCCUCUGCCUUUCUGUUCUGUUCAGCCUCUCAAAGGAUUGGAUAAUGCCCACCCACAUUGGCAAAAAGAAAACAGAAAAGACCACAGUCUUGUUUUACUCAGUUCACCAAUUCAAAUGCUCUUCCAGAAAUGCCGUCACUGACAUGCCCAGAAAUAAGGUUUUACCAGCUGUCUGGACAUCUCUUAGUCCCCUGAACCUGACACAUAAAAUUAGCCAUCACAAGUCCACCCCUUGUCAACUUGGCACUUGUACACAUCUCCUCAGAGAUAUUUGGUGUUGCUGUGUUUGUGCGUAUUAAUACAUGUGAGCAAAGAAUUUCGCUUCAUAUGGACAUUUGCUUAAUGUAUGUAUGUAGACAUGUAAACACAAUUAUAACAAGAUCAGGAAAUACUCAUGACCAUUGCAGACUUAUUUCUGUACUUGGUCACGUGGCUGAUAUUUAUACCCUUCUUCUCUUGCCCGUUCUGUGUACCCUUCAGCAAGUGCCUCAGCUCGUUGUGGUUCUUUACCUAAUGGAGUGGCCCAAACCUUCAUUCCUGAAGGAUCUGGAGUGUUAGUAGUGCCACCUGGAUUGCAUUGUAGUUUUCCAUUGAUCUUAAUUACGGCACUAGGGAUAGCCUAGGGGAUGUCCUGUAUGCCAGACGUGCUUUUACCUCCAUUGUGGGUAGUAGUCCCUUUUCUCCUAGAGAGUGUGGAUCAGUCACCCCAGCCAACACCACAGCUCCCUUCCUUGCCCAAGGAAAGGGACCCAGAGUGGCCAAGUGGCAGUCUUAAUUCCCAGUUCAACAGAACCGUGUCUACGGGUGCAUGGUAUUUCUCCCUUUAGAACUAGGUCCUCUACGUCAGCAGAGCAUAAAGUCAUGAGAACAGGAAACAAAAUGUAUGCUAGUAAGUCAGUAGGGGUAAUAGUGGUAUUGUGUCCAUUUCUACCUGUGGAUUCCUGGACCCCCGCACCCAUGAAUCCUGGUAUCAGGGAAGGGAUCCCGUUUAUUCGAUGCUGAUUCAGAAUGUGGACAGUCUUCUGGUGACCCUUGUCAGCACCCUGCACGGUGUUGCCAGUACCUAGCUGGCCCUGUAACCAAGUCUUCAAAACGCCAUUCCACUGUUGUAGCGGAAAGCUAGCGCCUUCAGGGUGGUGUGGAACUUGCGAAGACCUGUGAAUUCCAAGAACGUGGGCCCAUCGGUGGCAUUUCUUUUGCCAUGACGUGAGUUCCCUGAUCAAAAGCAAUGCUGUGUGGAAUACCAUGACAAUGGAUAAGGUAUUUUAUAAGUCCACAGAUGGUAGUUUUGGCAGAAGCGUUGUGUUUAAGGAGGGCAAGUCAGUAUCCAGGGUGUUUAUCCCAGGAGGGCGUGGAUUUGUAAACUGGCGUCAGUCCGGGAAUCGACUGGGGGACCGUGGCUCUGUUUGUUAGUUUUUCAAAGAUAACCACUGUUUAUAUAGAGGAAAAAAGAAUUGUGUGUAUGGGUACACAGAGACAUGUAAAAUUGAUUCUGCUUUAUUUCCUGCUUUUCUUAUUUAAUAUGUUGUAAAAAUUUUUUCUGUGCUGAGUCAGAGGGUGCUAUUUAUUCUCCAACAUCCACUUUCCAUUCUCCCUUUACUAAUAGAAACCUCCUUUUUUUUUUUAAAAAUGAUUGUCAGCAAAUUUUAUUUUUUAUUUUUAUUUUUGGUGAAAAAACUCCUCUACUUUACUGUUUUUUUUUUUUUUUUUAAUUUAAAUCCAAGUUAGUUAACAUAUGGUGUAAUGAUGGUUUCAGGAAUAGAAUUUAGUGAUUCAUCACUUACAUACAACACCCAGUGCUCAUCCCAAGUGUCCUCCUUAAUGCCCAUCCCCCAUUUAGCCCUUCCCACCCCACCAGCAACCCUCAGUUUGUUCUCUGUGUUUAAGAGUCUCUUACAGUUUGUCCCCCUCCCUGUUUUUAUCUUAUUUUUGCUUCCCUUCCUCUAUGUUCAUCUGUCUUGUGUCUUAAAUUCCACAUGUGAGUGAAGUCCUAGGAUAUUUGUCUUUCUGACUGACUUCACUUAGCACAACAUACUCUAGUUCCAUCCACGUUGCUGAAAAUAGCAAGAUUUCAUUCUGUUUGAUCGACCGUGGCUCUGUUUUCGUGUUUUGACUUAGACUUUUGUUCACUCGACCUAGAUCUUUUUGGCUUAAACAGAUCAGGUAGAAUUUGUAUGUAUUUCACUUGUAGCACCCCAUACUUAAGUGGCCGGUGCCCUGGGUCUGUGUGGAUCUUGCCGUUCUGUUGGCCGUUUGGCUGCUGUCCCUUGUGGUACCUACACCGGCCACACCCCCUUGCCUUUGGCUGCUGAGUGAGAGCUACCACGGCAGCUGCCUCUCCGGGAUCCAAUUACUUCCAUUGCGUUUAGGUUUUCCAGUUGAGGUGGUUGUGGUUCCCGGUGCAAGGAAGGACUGGCCAGACGAGGAGAGCAAUUAAUGGAGCUCUUCAAGGAUGCUGGGGCCCUCCCUCACGAACUUAUUUCUCCAAGUAUUGGUGAAAAUUAUGCCUUCUGGAUCCACCCACGCUGAGUGAGCUAUCUUAAAUGACAUUCCCACUCUAACAUUCCAGUCUCCUUAAGCCUUUGAAUCCCUUCCUUGGCAUUAAACCAAGGGAGGUUGGGCAUUUCCAGUCUGCUCACAGCAGGUUAUCUUUUGAUCCACCUUUCAGGUCAGCCGGCCCUUGGAGCCUUCCUGACUCCCUGAGCUGCAACAUUAAAAGCAGAAUUUCUUUGUGAGCCCGUAUCAAUAAAUUCAGCCUGAUCCAACCCUCUGUUUCUUAAAUUUCCAUUUUCACACAUGUUCCCUGGAUUUCUGUUUGUAUAAAUGAGAAAACCCAAGUAGUUGUUUUAAAAUGUGGCACACUUCCUCUUGAGUCAUACUUUGUACCUCACCUUUAGGGAUCUGUUGGGACUGGAGUCUAGUUGUAGGUCUAGAAACAAAGAGGUGGUGAUGGUGAAUCCCGAGGAGAAUCAGCAUUGUCUUGCAUGACAGCUGCCUCUGGGGAUUAGGCGAUGAGUUAAUCUCGUCACACGGAGGUGGGAAGGUCCACACUGCUGUGGGUGGGGAAGCCACUACUUCGGACACCCAAGACUGGUUAGAUCCGAUCCAGUUGUGCUGUAUUUUGCAAGAAAUGUUAAAGUAUGUAUGUAUUCCUCUUGUCACUUAGCAUGAUAUAGUAGAAUUAGGAACUAGAGACAGAAUAUACAGUUGAGCCCGAGCUGCAUACUUAUUAGCCGUGGGGCCUUUGGCAGAUAGCUCUCUCAAUUCCCUCGUUUAAAGCGUAGCUAUGAUAACCCCUACCUGUGACCAUGAUUGCUAAGUGAACCUCAGUAGCCGUUGUUCUCCCCUUUGAGAAUAGACUUCUCAGUCCGGUGUUAGCUAGCCCACGGGCACCCAGCUCUAGCUGCCUUCCCCUGCGAGUCGCACCUGGAUAGGGCCCUGUGACUAGGUUUGGGGCAUUGGGAUUUGGAAGGCAGAAUUGUGGGCAACUUUUGGGUUCUCUUAAGGACUUAUUUGCCCUGGAUGCCCUCAUUUCCUGUUUCUCUUUGGCUGGGAAAUGGCAAGAAUUGAAGCAGCAGUCUUGGAUCCAGCGACAGGUACGACGGAGGAAGACAACGGAACCGGCUGUCUGCCCCAGGCUCCUUGGAGCAGAGCUGCUCACUCCUUCGCUUUUGAACCGUUACGUGAGAGAGAAAGAAACCUGUCUUAUUUCAGCCCCUGCAUUUCUACAUGUCUUUGUUACAGGUCCUUGCAUUCCGCCUGGUGGCCCUAACAAAACACCACCUUAAAGAGUCGUAGGGUACCUACUGAAUGUCAGAAAAUAUUUGCAAAUCAUAUGCGUGAUAAGGGACUAAUAUCCAAAUAUAUAAAGAACUUCUGCAACCCAAUGGCAAAAAGCAGUGUGAUUGAAAAAUGGGCAGAGGGGCUGAAAAGACAUUUUUCCAAAGAAGACAUCAUCCAGAUGGCCCACAGGUGCUUGAAAAGAUGCUCAACGUCACUCAUCAUCAGGGAUGCAAAUCAAAACCACAGUGAGGUACCACCUCACACCUGUUAGCAUGGCCGUCCUCCAGGAGACAAGCGGUAAGUUGGUGAGGAUGUGGAGAAAAGGGAACCCUCAUGCGCUGUUGGUGGGACUGUAGGUUUUUUCAUGUUUCUACACAUAAGUGUUACUUUUUUUUUUAAUGUAUUAUUGGGGGGAGGCUGUAAAUUUGUGCUGCCGCUGUGGAAAAGUGUGAAAAAGUAAGGAAGUUCCUCAAAAGAUUGAAAAUAGAGCUGCUGUACAAUCCAGCAAUUCCACUUCUGGGUAUUUAUCUGAAGAAAAUGAAAGCACUAAUUCAAAAGGUAUCUGUACCCCCAUGUUCGUCGCAGCGUUAUUUAUAGUGGCCAAGAUGUAGAAGCAACCUAAGUGUCCAUCGAUGCAUAAGUAAAGAAAAUACGAUUCUGUGUGUGUGUGCGUAUAAAAACUGCUCAGCCAUAGAAAUGAAAUCUUGCCAUUUGCAACAACACUAAUAGAUGCUGAGAGCAUCGUGCUAAGUGGAAUAAGUCUGACAGAAAAAGACAAAUACCAUAUGAUCUCACAUGUGGAAUCUAAAAAUGAAAACCUGAGCUCAUGGAUAUAGGGACCACAUCGGUGGUUGUCUGAGGCCGGGGGUGAGGGUGGGCAAAAUGGGUGAAGGGGGUCAAAAGAUAUAAAUUUCCAGAUAUUAGUAAGUCAUGGGAUGUAAUGUGGGGCAUGGUGAUGAUAGCUAAUGAUCCCUGCGUUGUGUAUUGGAAAGUACUUAGGAGAGUGGGUUGGUCCUCUUAAAAAAAGAAUUUUGUCACUCUGGGGUAUUGGAAGUUGACUGGACUUAAUUGCCGUGGUGAUCAUUUUGCGGUAUAUACAAGUAUCACAUCAUUGUGUCGUUCACCUGAAACUAAUACCAGGUAUACUUCAGUAGAAGAAACACUUGUGAAAACUAGAGAUGAGAAAUGUCCUGGUUUAGUAUAUAACACAUAGCAAGUGCUCUGUUAGUGUUUCCUACUGUUAAAUAGUUACUUUCUACCUGUUGUGGGUGGGGUGCAGUGCUAAAUCAAAGGUCAUAAAAAUGGUUUCUGUUGUUAGUGGAUUUAAGAAUAUUAAGAGCAAGGAUUAUUUCAAUUAAAAAUGUAUGUAAAAUAGCUAAUAGCAACUAGUGAGAGAACAAAACUUAUAACGUUCAUAAUCGUAACAGAAAUAUACUUUAUCUGGAAUGAAACAAUAAGACAUGGGCAAGAGGACCCAUAUGAGAAAAACUUACAGUUUAAGACAUAAAAGACUGUAGAAAUGUGUGGAGAGAUAUUUUGUGUUACUUAAUGUUAUAAAAGGUUUCUCACAAAGGUUUAGAGGUUUAAUGUUAAAAGGUCAAACAAUGAAGUCAAGCCUGUAAAAUAGAUGUGGGUCUUCGCCUACCCUUUCUCGCCACUAGGUUGGCAUCUGCAGAGGUGGCUGGUUUGAAUUCUUUCAUCGGUUUCUUCUGAUACUUACCUCUGUAUUUUUUAUCUCUUCUCUUUCUUGUCUGUCUAGAGAGUGUUCACAGGCGUGUGUGUAUGCGCACAAGUAGGGGAGGGGCAGAGAAAGAGGAAGAGAGAAUCCCAAGCAGGCUCUGGGCUCAAACCCACAAACCGAGAGAUCAUGACCUGAGCUGAAAUCAAGAGUGGGAUGCUUAACCCCCUGAGCCCCCCAGGCGCCCCUCAAUAUUAUUUAUGAUGCCAUUUCUUAUUUUUUUUACUUGUCUCUUCACUUUUUAAUGAGGUGAAUGAAGAUUUGCUCUUUUAUACCUCGCUUCUCAAUUAUUUCCCUCUUCCCCUCAACAUUGCUCCCCUGUAACAGGUACAUGAUUUUUCGUUGGUCAGUGACUUCAUUAUUAUAAUUGCGUAUUAUCUGUAGCUGAGACACAAAGUGAUUGUGAUUAUAUUCACUUUUCCCCAUAACUUGUUUUUCUUGGCGUUUAAUUUUCCUGUGCUGUCUUUUUAAUGAUUUAUUCUCCCCUUUCUCUUUUCUAGAAUUUCUGUAGUCUGAUAUUGGAUCUCCUGGAUUUUGAUCUUCUAAUUUUCUUUUUUCCGUCUUUCUCUCUUUCUGGUGUCUGGGAGAUUCCCUCUGCUUUAUCUUCCAGUCUUACUAUUGUAUAUAUAUUUAAUUUCCUGCUCCCAUUUUAAAAUUCUAAAAGCUUUUUCUUAUUGAGUAAACAUCCCUUUCAAUAGGCCCCAUUACUGUUUUAUGGAUACACUUUCAACUCUCUGAAGAUGCAGAUUUCAGUUAAAAAUAACAACCCAACAAUUUCUUUGGGUAGUGAUUACUUCUUUUUCAUUUGUUUUUCCAUUUCAUUUGGUUUCUUUAUUUCAUGUGGAAGAAUUCUUCACUGGUUCCUCAAAUGCUUAGCUAAUAUUAACAGUCUUAGCAGAAGCUCUGUGCACGGGUUUCACUCUAGGGCUGUUUAGUUGAAGACCAGAUUUAUUUUAUUGACACAUCUCUGACUUUUUUUCCUUCAAGUUUUUACUGAAAUUCUAGUUAGCUAAAAUAUAGUGUAAUACUGUUUUCAGGAGUCGAAUUCAGUGACUCAUCACUUACACAUAACACCGAGUGUUCAUCCCGACAAGUGCCCUCCUUAAUGCCCAUCCCCCACCCACCUCCCUCCAUCAGCCCUCAGUUUGUUCUCUAUUUGUAAAGAGUCUCUUAUGGUUUCUUUCCCCCCUCUCUCUUUUUCCUCCUUUUACAUACGUUCAUCUGUUCUAUUUCUUAAAUUCCACAUAUGAAUGAAGUCAUACGGCACUUCUCUUUCUCUGACUGACAGAUUUCGCUUAGCAGAAUACACUCUAGUUCUGUCCACAUAGUUGCAAAUGGCAAGGUUUCAUUCUUUUUCGUCACCAAGUAGCAUUCCAUUGUAUGUAUAUACCGCAUCUUCCUUAUCCAUCAUCCGUUGAUGAACGUUUGGGUUCUUUCCAUAGUUUGGCUGUCGUUGAUAACACCACUAUAAACGUCGGGGUGCACGUGCCCCUUUGAAUCUGUAUUUUUGUGUUAUUUGUGUGAAUAUCUAGUAGUGCAAUUGCUGGGUCGUAGGGUAGUUCUCUUUUUAGUUUUUUGAGGAACCUCCACACUGUUUUCCAGAGUGGCUGCACCAGUUUGCAUUCCCACCAGCAGCGCAAAAGAGAUCCUCUCUCUCCGCAUCCUCGCCAACAUCUGUUGUUGCCCGAGUUGCUGAUUUUAGCCAUUCUGACCGGUGUGAGGUGCUAUCUCAUGGUGGUUUUGAUUUGCAUUUCCCUGAUGAUGACACAGCUCUGACUCUUAACGUCUGUAGUCUUUUCUGAUUUUUCUUCGCAAAGAGGAACCCCUCUGCCUCCUGCUGAGGGAGUGCACCUGUUUCUGGCAGUUGAGUAGGGGAGAGAGCUGGGGGGAGGGAGACUCACGUCUGAGUAUAUCACUUGCAUUCGCUCUCCCUGCGAUCUUACCCUCACGCCCUGUGCCCGCAGUGCCUCAGUGCAGAGUCUGGCACGCUCCGUCUUUUUCCCCAGAGAGUAGACUGCUCUUUCUCCUGCCUGAGCAAGAGUCAGUUGGAGAGUUGGAGGCCGCAUGGAGCGCCUGUCUCAUGCAGACUUCGCGUUCCUCCUCCUUUAGCCCCACCCGCAGCUGCCCAUGUUCCUGAGCCUUUCUGAGUGCCGCCUUCGUGCUGCCUCCCCUUAACUACACAGUUAGGGUUCAGCUGUCGCUGUUCUGCUACGGCAGAAACUACUCACUCACCUCUCUUUCCAUCUUCCAAAAUUUUCUUAAUGUCUUUGGUCUAUAACCACUUCUAGUCUUUAUCCUUAGUGUUUCAUACUUAAAAAAAAAAAUGUCUUUAUUGUCAUUUGAGUGGAGUUUGGGGAGUAAGUGGAAAUAAAUGCAUGUAUUCAAGUCACUAUUUUAACCAGAAAUCUUUGAGUUUUCACAAGAGUAAACUUUAGACUUGCAUGAAAACAGGACCGUUAAGAUGAGGUGGUUUGAUGCUCAGUGGACCAUCUGCGGAGGCAGACCUCAUUUACAAGUGUCCCGUUCUCCCUGUGGCUCCAGGGUCUUCUCUCUUUUCCGCCGUUUGUGGCAGAUACAGGGCCUCCGAUGGUGGGAACACUCACUUUUCCUGCUCCCGGAGAUGACAGUCCUACGACCCCUGAAAAUCUCCCAUGUCAGCCAUACCCUUGUUUUGCUUCCUACACCAUUUCUGAAAGAUACCCUAAUAAUUUCUAGUUCAAAACUUGUAUUCAGUCUAAAUCAGUGGAAUUUUAGUAAUGAAUCACCUAGAACGUUGGCUUUCACCAUGUCUAUCAGAAUGCUUCUAGCUGCAAAUAACAGAAAGCCCAGCUAGCUGAAAGGGUUGGAGAGUUUGGGGCUCCUGGGUGGCUCAUUCGGGUUAAGCGUCCAACUCUUGGUUUCGGCUCGGGUCGUGAAUCACAGUUCAUGAGUUUGAACCCCACGUCGGGUUCUGUGGUGACGGUACAGAGCCUGCUUGGAUUCUCUCUCUCUUUCUCUCUCUGCCCCUCCUCCACUUACACACGCACACACACUCUCUCUCAAAAUACAUAAGUAAACUUAAAAAAAAAAACAAACAAAAAACCAAAGGGGGUUUAUUCUGUUUACUUAACUGGAAAGUUUAGAGAUAGGUCAGUCUUCAUUGCUAUUUGGUCAAGACUCUUACUCUCUUUCUCUGCAUUUCUCUCAGCUCUGCUCUGAUCUGCAUGUUGACUUUUAGGCUGGCUCCCCUCAUGGUUACAGAAUGGCUGCGACAGCUCCAGGUGUCAUGUUUCAUACACACCAUGCAGAGGAAGAGAAAGGUUCUUUCCCAGAAGUUACCAGAAGACAUCUCCACACCUCGGGGUGGGGACAGGGGGCAGGAAUUAUACCAAUUUAUCUCGCAUCACACCCCAUUUCUAGAAUGAGGGUGGUUAUACUCCCCCAAAACAUACAGGUUAUGUGAGGCAGGAGUAAUACUCAUAAUAUCAGAAUAGGGGGCGUGGAUGUUGGGAAGGCUAUCACGGUAUCCAUUACUGUGCUUGUUUUUAAUAUCUCUGCUUUGAUCACCGAGGACAUAACUGUCUUUAUAUUUACAUCCUUACACUUUUUAUAAGUUGUUCUCCCCUCAUUCAGGUUCCAUUGAUCUUAUGUGUUAACAAACCAUCAUUGUCUUUAUCCUUCAGGCUUUUCCUUACAAUUUUUUUUUUUUUUCUAAUCUGCAGUUUAACCCACUGUGUGCAUUUAAAAAAUAUUUCAGUGCUUAUGAAAUUCUUCUUCUCCAUGCCCUAAUGUUCACCUGGCCUUUUUGGUAUUGUCUUUUUGUUGGCCCUCAAAGUUUUAUAAUGACUUUUGUUCUUAAUAAAUUUAAGCAUGCUUUAUAAUUUCUAUCUCUACUAUUAUCUGAAAUGUUUUGUUGUCUAAUUGUUAUUUUUUACUUCUGCUCUUUCCCUCAUGAUGGAUUAUUUCUUCAUGUGCUUUGCAACUUUGGGUUGUGAGCUCAUCUUCAGUAAGUCUUUAAUUGUUGGAAUUCUGCAGGUCCUGAGUAGUUAUACAUUUGUCUCUGCCAGGUCAGUCAGAGAUCACUCUUGAGAAGUUUCUGAGCCUUGGAUUUCUUGGGUCAUGCAGGUAGUGUAAAUUUGAACUUCAAGUCUUUGUGAAGGCUGUCUCAGUGUAGAUUUUGGGUUUUGUUUUGUUUUUUGUUCACCUAGAACCCGGGCCAAGGUAGCUAAGUUUCCUUGAUGGGGAAAUUGGUUUUAUGACGGCAUUUUAUUCUGAUUCCCUGCCUCCCAGGGUUAAGUGCUCCUUUCCAGCUACUUGAUAGGUGUUAAAAUUCAAGCCUCUUGGUUAUUGAAACUGGUGAACCCCUGCCCCAACCACGAGCUCAUGCUUGCUGCUGUGGUUUCCCGUUCCUGCCUGGUUUGGGCCUCUCGGUUUUAAUUUCUUACUGUGCAUUUGAGGAAUGUUGACUUUAUUUCAUCCAGCACUUUUGAAUGUUUAAGUUCGUCUUAGGUCUGAUUCUCCAGGGAAUAGAGAUUUGAGGCAGAGAUUUGCACGCAGGGGGUGUUUUGGACAUUUCUGUUGGCAACAUGCUUGUAGGGAGGUGAGGGCUUGUGAGGCGAGAUGGGAUGGAUGGAAGAGCUAAUGGGGGAAGAGCUCAUAGGGAGAGGGAGGAGCUAAUGGGGAGUGGGUGGAGCUAAUGGGGGGAGGAGCUAGUGGGGAGAGGGAGGAGCUAAUGGGGAGAGGGAGGAGCUAGUGGGGGAGGGAGGAGCUAAUGGGGAGAGGGAGGAGUUAACCGUAGUGCAGCUGCAGCCCUUACUUGAGCCGGUCCCUUGGGCAGCUUCUAGACCUAGGGAUUAUGUGCACGCUGGUUCGGGCCAGGUCUUCGAAGCUCUGGGAGCCCAGCUCCCUAACGGUGUUCCCGACGGUCAGCCCCCACUGAGCUGCUCGCCUGUACCGAUCCCCUUCUUGUGUGUACCUUCCCCGCAGCUCCGGGAAGUGCGGCGCCCUCUGGGCCCUGCGGUGGCCAGCAGCUUGUGCAGCGUCCCCUGGUACCUGCUCCCUGGCCCUGCCCUUCCCUCAUUCACUGUCUGCCACAGCAGCUCUGGCAUUUCUCCUUCACGUGUUGAGGGUCUCCACUUCCCCACCUUUCGAGACUGUGUCGGUAGUGUCCUAAUGUUUCCAGGGUCCUCCUCGGGGUUACCUCCUGUGUCGGGGGCAGUGCCCCCGGCUAGAUGAGCUCAGCCCGACGGCUGAGUCCGUCCCCGUGCUGCACAUACUCCUCUGGCCCCUGCAGCUCCUUCGGCCCGCGGGCCUUCCCUCCUGGCAGGCUCAGUGCUUCCUGAGCGCUGGUCUUUGCGAUCGGCUUGGAGGCCAGGAGGAGUACAGUGUCCCGGAGGCCACGGUUUGUCCGCUAAGGUAAAAUGCUCUGCGUCAUCCUCAGGCAGGCAAGGUGCUAAUUCUGCAGGAUCGAGAGCUCCUGGGCGUCUGGAGACAAGUGUAGCCCCCACAUGUCUUUGUCCGAGUCUCGGUUGCAUGCCUGCCUCGUCAGAGUCUUGACUUGAGGCGGCUCAGCCGCUCUGUGGUUUGUCCCUGGCCCCAGCUUCAGUUGUCGGUUGUCAGAGAUGACAGGUCUGCCUGUGCCGCCAAGGAGGCCCUUUGACUUUGCGCUUCACCCUCAGCUGGUGAUCCAUCACACGCAGCCUUGUGCCAUCUUGGCUCCCGGCAAGAGCCGUGCGAUUCCAGAGUCCUUGCAGUGACCGCUUUCCUGACGUCUCAGGCCGGAGAUGUGUCUGCACGCCCCUUCGUCUGGCCUUUCGGCCCACAUCACCGCAGGUGAAAGUGUUAGCAAGUGUCCUACAGCCUGCGUGGGGCUGAUGGUGCUGCAUCUCCCCCUAGUGAAGGGGGGCUUGGGGUGAGAGCAGCUCCCGGACCGACUUCUGGCUGGGAGCCAAGGGUGGCUGACGUUUCCGGCCGCUGGGGGUUAGUCCUCGGGGGCCGCGGAUCCAGCAGUGGACCCACAGCACCCCCUGCAGAAGGGCCUCAGGUGCCCUGGUGCACAGCACGGCCAGAAAGAAAGGCCAGCUAGAGCACGGACGACAGAAGUUCUUACGUGGACUCCUUCCUGAUACAUGGCACGUUCGGAUGUGGUUUCUGGAAGUCAUUCAGUUCUCAUUUUAGCCAGGACUUUCAUUUUCAAAGAAGUGUGUAAGUCAUUAAUCGUUUCACUGAAAUGGGGGGUGAUUUUGAGAUAAACCUAGGCAUUAUGGAUUUGUUGCUUUAAAGGAUAGAUGCACUUUUUGGUGAUGGUGAUGUAAUUUCUACUUUUAGGAAGUUUUAUAAUAGGGUGUCAGAUUGCCAACUCAUAAAAAACAAAACAAAACGAACAAAACUUGAAGAGCCAAGUCCUGCAGCUUAAAAUGCUGACAUUCAUGAAAAAGAACACAUACUCAAAGCUAAUAGAUCUCUCUAAUUUUUUGGGGUGACUGGGUGGCUCAGUUGGUUAAGUGUCCAAGUUCGGCUCAGGUCACGAUCUCGCGGUCCGUGGGUUCGAGCCCCGCAUCCGGCUCUGUGCUGGCAGCUCAGAGCCUGGAACCUGCUUCUGACUCUGUGUCUCCCUCUCUCUCUGCCCUUCCCCCACUCACACUGUGUGUGUGUGUGUGUGUGUGUGUGUGUGUGUGUGUGUGUGUCUCAAAAAAAAACAUUAAAAAAAAAUCUCUAACUUUCUAAAGUUUUAUUGAGAUCUAUUUCACAUACCAUAGCCAUGCACAUCUUGUAAGUAUAUAGUUCAGUGAUUUUAAGUAUAUUCACAGAUGGUUGUGCAAGCAUCACAUCUAAUGUUAGAAAGUUUUGACAUCCCCCCAAGAGAAACCCCGUGCCCAUUAGGAGUCACUGCUCCAACCCUUCCCUCCUGCCUCUGCACUCGGCAACUACUGACCUGCUUUCUUUGUGGAUUUGCCCGUUCAGGACAUUUCACAUCCGUGGAAUCAUGCAGUAUGAGGCCUUUUGUGACUGGUUUCUUUCAGUCAAAGCUAGUAUGUUUUCAUUCCAGUCUACGUUAAGAUUCGGACUAAUUCUCUUUCUUACGAUAAGGGAGACUCAGAACGCUGCAGAACAAAGCUGAGACUUCCAAAACCAUGUCUACCUACUUGGUGCCACUGGGGCUCUGUCAGCUGGGGCUAGGUGAGGAGUUUCUAGUUCUCGGUCGCAACCAUAGUAUAGCACUGAGGUCGCUGCAUUUCAGUAGGUUGGUGAAGUUGUUUCAGUGGUUUGUUUAAUUUAUUCGCUGAUUCAUUCAUUCACUCAUCCGUUCGAAUUCACUUCGUGGACUGAUGGGAAUGAGACAACGUGUAUCUCACCGUGCUCUCAGGAAGGACUGGCUUCCAGCAGGUGGUGUUUUUGACUUUAAAAAGCAAUAGCCCAGUGUUUUUUCUUAGAGAAAUCGAAUGGCGUGGCCCCUGUCUUCUACUGUUUGGCUGUAAGAGAAGUGCCGUGCCCAUCAUCACCAUAGUUACUAUCUUCGUGCUGCUUUUUGACGGCUCACGGUAUGUUGGGCGCCGUGCUAAGCGUGCAACGUGAAUUACUCCUUAUCAGCCUAGCAGUCCUGUCAGGUGAGUGCUGCCACCCCAUCAUAGAGACGAGGAAAGUGAAGCCCGGACAGUGAGUGGCUGGUCAGGACCACCGAGUGGCACUCAGACUCACACGUAUGCUCCUCAGUGUUCGUGCAGUUCUAGGUGGCUGCUUCCUGAGUACUCUUUUAUACCCUGUAAGAUUAGUGCUAACCCGACGUUGGAAACAGAGCAGUGCAAUGCGUUGGUCGUGACUCAGAUGACAUCUUCACGAAAGUCUGUGGAAGUGUAGCUGGGUGCCCUACAGCUCCACAGCAGUGUUCCUACUUAACAUUGUACCUAAAGAGCCACAGAGUGGUAGCGUCGUCCGUCUGUCUUUUUUUAAAGUGAGCUUCGUACCAGCGCAGACCCCGAGCGCGGGGCUUGAACUCAAGGCCCCGAGAUCAAGACCUGAGCGCAGAUAAAGAGUUGGACACUUAACCGACUGAGUCACCCACGUGCCUCGUGUCUGUCUUUUUUAUGAGCCGACGUCUGUUGGGUGUUUAUUAUGUACCAGCCUCUACGCUGAAGGCAUUAUCUCAUUUGAACCUUAAAACAACCUGUGCGAUAGCAACUUUUAGUAUCGUCGUUUUCAGAUGAAACAGUUGAGGCUUUGACAAGUUAAGAUGCUUCUCUUAAGAUACCCUAUAUUAGGGGUGUCUUGGUGGUUCGGUGGGUUAAGUGUCUGACUCUUGAUUCUGGCUCAGCUCAUAAUCUUGUGGUGGGGAGAUCGAGUCUGGCAUCAGGCUCCACAUAAGCGUGGAGCCUUCUUAAGAUACCGCUCACGCACGCAUGCUCUCUGUCCCUCAGAAAAAAACCCUAAGGUGUCUAACUGAGAAAAGACAGAGCUGGGAUUUGAACCCAUACGUUAACAUUCUGGUACUGAAACCUGCGCUCUUAAUGCUGUGCUGCCUCUCUGUCUUCCCGCAUUCCUAGUCAUCAUCUUUAAUUGUCUUUGGUGAACUUGGUCUUUCCUUCCGUUCUUGUGCUCUUUCUGCUUAGUGAUGAUCCUUAUCUUGCCGCUGGUCUUGUCUUUUCAAUUUUGAUAGAAUGAUGAAUUGAUACAAGUCAUUUAUAAGAGUUGAUUAAUUGUAUUUUAGUAAGAAAAUUUGAAAGCAAAUGCUUGAUUAAGCCAUUGAAAAACAGUUUAUUACAAAUUUUCUCCAUUGCAAAAGUAGUACUUUCACUGUAAGCAAAGGGGAAAAAAGCUUUAAACCUAUUAGUAUAGUUUUUUCCUUUAACUUUUAAUUUUCAUUUUUAAAUGCUUUUUAUCCCUAAUUAUCAUAUGAAAGUAAUUACCAUCCUAAAGAAAUUUUAGGGGCACCUGGUGGGGGGGGGGCUCGGUUGAGCAUCCAACUCUUGGUUUUGGCUCAGGUCAUGAUCUCAUGGUUUGCGAGUUCAAGUCCCGCUUGGGCUCUGUGCUUACAUCGUGGAGCCUGCUUGGGAUUCUGUCCCUUUCCCUCUCUCUCUGCCCUUCCCCUGCUCAUGUUCGCACUGUCUCUCUCAAAAAUAAAUAAAUAAACUUUAAAAAACAAGAAAUUUUAAAUGUCAGCAAAUAUGUAGAAGGAAUGGUACCUUCCUACGAAUGGUACCGUGUGGAGGCACCUGGGGGGCUCAGUCAGUUGAGCUUCCGACUUCGGCUCAGGUCAUGAUCUCACAGCUCGUGGGUUCAAGCCUCAUGUUGGGCUCUGUGCUGACAGCUCAGAGCCUGGAGCCUGCUUCCGAUUCUGUGUCUCCCUCUCUCUCUCUCCCUCUCUCUCUACGCCCCUCCCCCACUCAUGAUCUGCCUCCCUCUCUCCCUCUCAAAAAUAAAUAAAUAAACAUUAAAAAAAAAAACUGUACUGUGUACAUGUGAAAUACCAAAAGUAAAACUUGGUUUACCUUUAAAUAUGAUGUCAGGAAAGAGCACAUGUUAAUGUAGUUUCUUGUUAAUCAGGUAACCUGUGGCUCUUUGGGGACGAGCCACCCGGAGGCAGAGGUCUGCAUGAGAAGCAGGCUUCUGACCCGGGCUGUUGCGUGCAGAGCACAUGUCCUAUUCUUACUGGUCCCUUCCAGAGUCGGAGCCUUAUUGCCCCUUGGCGUGCAUGUGCCAUGAAGACCUUCUCUUUCCCUCCUCUCUUCCCCUCCCCCGAAUACAAGUCACACUUUUCCUUCGUACUUGUGCUUAUGUUCAGCAGGUUUCCUGGCAUACUUGUGGCUGUUCUAAUAUUCAGUAAUAUUUUCUUAAGGAAACCCCUUCUCUGGAAUUUUGGAAUGCAGUUCUGUGCCUCUGUUUUUUACCCUCCUGUGAACAUUUUCUGAUAAGUAUUUCAUUGGAAAGGCUGGUAGGCACUUCUGUUCCUCUUUUAACCUUUUCUAGGCUAAGUAAAUGUUUUUGCCAAAAACUUAAAAAAAUUAUAAUUGAUGUCUUCCCUUUUUCCCGCUGAAAUAAAUCAUGUGUGUUUUAGAUAACAUUGGAUUUAAAAAUGUACAGCUUGGAGCAUCUUCGGUUAAAAUUUUGGAAGGUCUAGUUAGAGUUGAGUACAUCUUUUUUGCCUGUAAGAUACAGAAACAAGAAACAAUUUAAUCUACAUAGGAGGGUGACUAUUCAUAAUAUGAAAGGAUACUGAGUGUAUUGCUGGGAUUACGGGGAAUCCCAGUGUAUUGCUGGGAAUACUGAGUGUAUUACUGGGUAAUAACGAGUGAGCCUGACUAGGGAAAAAUGUCUAAAAAGACAUCUUAGAUGAUAACAAAACGUAGAGAAACAGUGAUCUGGAGUGCAGACCCGUCUAGUGUUGUGUCUCGUAUAUAUGGACUCAUCUCUUUGGAAUAACCAUUAUCUUUUAGUUCCUGUGCAUUUUUGUAUUCUGGAUGCGAACCUACUUUACAUGGCAACAUAUUUGCUAUUGAGUGGAAAACACUGCAGUUUAAUUUGCAUGGCAUAUAUAGAUUCCAUCCCCUAAGUCUGCAUUAAUUGUGUGAUUAAAAUAUUUAGUUCUCAACAGUCUUAAAAUUUGUUUUUCUGUUUUAUAAGAUACCUACUCUACUUGUCAAUUAAAAAUCACUACAGAUUUUUUUCCCUUUCUAUUUAAAUUUUUUUUUUUUCAACGUUUAUUUAUUUUUGGGACAGAGAGAGACAGAGCAUGAACGGGGGAGGGGCAGAGAGAGAGGGAGACACAGAAUCGGAAACAGGCUCCAGGCUCUGAGCCGUCAGCCCAGAGCCCGACGCGGGGCUCGAACUCACGCACCGCGAGAUCGUGACCUGGCUGAAGUCGGACGCUUAACCGACUGCGCCACCCAGGCGCCCCUUUCCCUUUCUAUUUAAUAGACGUACUGUUUAGAGCAGUUUUAGGUUUACAGAGUAAUUGAGCGGAAAGCAUGGAGAAUUUUGAUAUAACCCCGUCCUCCUUUUAUUAACAUCUUCCAUUAGUGUAUAUGUUUAUUAUGGUUAAUGAAUGUUGAUAAGUUGCUAUUAACUAAUGUCCAGGUGUACAUUAGGACUCAUUCUUUAUAUCGUACAGUUUUCAAUUGUGACAAAUGUAGGUCGUACCCACGAUUAUCAAAUAUCCACCAUUACAGUUCAUGACUUUGUGAAAGAUAGUUUUGCUGCUUUAAAAAUCCCCUGUAGGGGCGCCUGGGUGGCGCAGUCGGUUAAGCGUCCGACUUCAGCCAGGUCACGAUCUCGCGGUGCGUGAGUUCGAGCCCCGCGUCGGGCUCUGGGCCGAUGGCUCAGAGCCUGGAGCCUGUUUCCGAUUCUGUGUCUCCCUCUCUCUCUGCCCCUCCCCCGUUCAUGCUCUGUCUCUCUCUGUCCCAAAAAUAAAUAAACGUUGAAAAAAAAAAAUUUAAAAAAAAUAAAAAUCCCCUGUGGAAUAAUGUUAAAUGGAAAUAAGUCCUUUUUCUUACCUUCCUUCCCAGUGUGACUCUAAGAAACUAUUGUUGAUAUUUUCUUGUGUGUUUCAGUGACACAAUGAAACAAUGAAUUUUUGAUCUUGCCCAUACGAUACAGGUGGAUACCUCAUAUUUUCCAGCGGCAGCAGUGUAAACACUCUUGAAACCGCUUAAAGAAAGGGAUUGUGGGUGACUGAGGAGCUGGUCCCGCGCACCUGUUAGCGAUGGUGUCCAAGAAGGAGGCCGUAAGGUGGCAUGUCUGGCUUGGCACUGAGGCUGGUGUGGCUACUGAAUGUCACAGCAUGUAAUUUAAGAUGUGAGGGUUAUUGGACACAUAAUAACAUACUGUUAGCUAGAAGAUGAAGACAGUGCUCUGACAUGUAAACAUGUACUGUGUUCAUUUCGUGAAUACCUUUGUCUCGGUAGAAAAACUUUUACUAAUAUUCAACAGUAGUUCCUCAUUCCUGGCAUUUUAAACUUUUAAGAAGCUUCCAUUGAUCAUGUGAUUAAAUGCGUGUCAAAAACAGAUAUGUUAUAUUUUUGAAAUAUGGAGCUUGAAAAAAAAUAUACCUCAGUCUAGGAAGUUGUAAGGAUGUUUUAUGAAAAAAAUCAGGCAUUACUUUAAGCUUUUGCAUAAAAUUAUCAGAAUAUUUGCCAUGGAAAAGUACUUCUGGAGAUUUCUGCAUGAUAAAUUCUUGGUAUGUAUUAAUUUUUAAAACAUUUAAAAAAUAUUUAUUUUUGAGAGAGAGAAAGAGAGAGCACAAGCGGGGAAGGGGCAGAGAGAGAGGGAGACAUGGGAUCCGAAGCAGGCUCCAGGCUCUGAGCUGUCAGCACAGAGCCCCACGUGGGGCUCGAACUCAGAACUGGGAGAUCAUGACCUGAGCUGAAGUUGGAUGCUUAACCGACUGAGCCACCCAGGCAGCCCAGCCCCCCCCUUUUUUUUUUAAUGUUUUGUUUUGUUCUUUCAGAUCUUUGAUUGUUAUUUACAGAAAUUGUCUUUAGAGGGAUUUGAAAUGGAAUAGAAACUUUUGGAGCUGAGCAAUAAAUACAGGACCAUUAUAAAUAUACAGAGAAAAACUGAGUUUUGAAACCACAGUGUUGAGUCUGUCUCCCAUGCUGAUGUGUACCGACUUUUUUUUCUUCUUCUUUUUUAAUGUUUAUUUUUGAGAGAGAGAUAUAGUGUGAGCGGGGGAGGGGCAAAGGGAGAGGGAGACACAGAAUCCGAGCUGUCAGCACACAGCCCAACGCAGGGCUCGAACUCACAAACCGGGAGAUCAUGUUCUGAGCCGAAGUCGGAUGCCUAACCGACUGAGCCGCCCAAGCUCCCCUUGAUAUUUUUUAAAUAUCAUAAUUAGUUAUGUUUAAUUGACCUGGUUGACUUUCAAAACUAAUUGUGAAAGAAAUAGAACUUAGUGAUAAUUCAAGUCAAUAAAUGGGUUUUUUGCUGUUUUUCUGCCAUUCCACUGAGUGGAAAGUAGCAUAUACUUUAUUAGAAAGCCAAGUGAUAAGCUUAUUUUCCUUGAUGUUUUGUAUUUUUCUUACCUUUCGUAUGCAUCGUUGAAUGAUUCUGGUCGUGUGCACUUUUGACGAAUCGUUUAAUUUACGCUCACGUUCAACCGCGGCAUUAUUUGCCGUAGUCAGAAGGUGGGGGCUACUCAUGGGUGUCCAUGGAAGGAUGACGGAUGAUCGAAAUGUGUAAGCAUACAGUGGAAUAUUAUUCAGCUUUAAAGAGGAAGGAAACUCUGACGCCUGCUUCAGCAAGGAUGAACCUUGAGCCUUGAGGACAUGAAAUGCUAAGUGAGACGCUAAGUGAAAUAAGCCAGUCCCGAACAGGGAAGUAGGAGGUGUCUAGAGUGGUCAGAGUCACGGAAAGUAGAGUGAGUGGUGGCUGUGAGGGGCUGGAGGUGGGGGGGGGGAGGGAGGUGCUGUUUACUGGGUGCAGAGAUUCAGUUGCAAGAUGAACGUUGGUUGUACACAGAGUGAAUUUAUUUAACGCUUUGAACUGUACACUUAAAAUGGCUAAUGAUGUAAAUUUUAUAUAUGUACUUUUCCACAAUUAAAAAUUUUUAAAAAUCCAUUGAAAGGUAAACGUAUGCAACUAAAUUUGUCCAGUGGAGUGGUUUAGCAGGGAAUGGAGAAGUCUAGAAGUCUGAGGGACUUCUCCUAAGAACGUACUAUCUGAUUUCCUAAGUAUUUGUAAACAUAGUGCUGAUUUCAACUGCUGAGACAGGUGCAGAGGGAGAGAAGUGUUUGGGUAAUUGCUGUCUGCUCAGGAAAGGGUUAUGGACGUCAAGCUUUUUAAAAUUUCUGUAUAAAAGUUUUCUUUUAAAAACCAGCUCACCCUUUAUUUGUGUUGGCUGAAGUUUUGUGUGCCUGGUGCAUACUUGAAUAAUCUAAUGUAGAGAUUAUAAGGUGAGGGAGAUCCACGUGGCCAAGUUAGAAUGAUGGACGUGCAUCAUAAUGUUACAUGUCAGCUGACCCACCGCAGAAACGGGAGGGGGUAAGGAGGUGUACAUCUGCCUCAGAAAAGAGGCAAGUCGCACCCUUCAAAUUAUCCGUACUAAUUUUUCUCAGUGUGAGCAAAUUACUUUUUAAAAAAUUUUUGAUGUUUAUUUAUUUUGAGAGAGAGAGAGAGACAGAGCACGAGGUGGGGGGGGCAGGAGAGGGAGGCACAGAAUCCGAAGGAGGCUUCAGGCUCCAAGCUGUCAGCACAGAGCCCGACGUGGGGCUUGAACUCAGGAACCGUGAGAUCAUGACCUGAGCCCAAGUCAGUUGCUUAACCGACUGAGCCACCCAGGCACCCCUCAAUCAAAUUGUUUGAUAACAGAAAAGAGAACCUUUCAGUUUAGCUGUCAAAGCCGGGCUGUCGUUUCCGAUGUGCUUUAUUUAAUUAACUACCGAGUCCGGAGCAGAAGUGAAGAGAAGUGGUUACAUGUGCUUGUCCAUCCAGAUCACCAGCUGUCAACUUUCAUUUGUGACACGUCUAGAAAGUUCUUAAUGGACAGUUACAACAAAACCACAUAUCUGUGUAUAGUUAUGCCAUUUAGCUAGAUACUGUAUACGUAUAGCUUGUUAUCUUCAAAGUUUUGAUACAAGCCAGAGUGAGAGUGAGCAGAGUGCCCGAGGAAUCGCGGGCUAAAGAUUUGAUCCGUCUGUCUUUGUGACUCUGGCACCUCCCACACUGCUGGGCAUAUGAGAAGCUAUUAAUACAUGUUUGAAUGAAUGAACGAGUAAAUUAAUGGGUAUGUACCAGUCUGUAGAUUGGUAUACGUCUUUUCAUCUACAAAUCCUUCUGUUCUGGAUAUAAUGUUUCCUUUGCUUUCCCUGGGUGUUCGACUCCUUCUUUUUAAAAGAUUAGUAAGCUUUAUUUCAAGUAAUAUUCUCUUAUAAUAGGACUCAAUCACAAAUAAAUAAAACCAUACUUAACAAACAUUUAUAUAGUGCUUACUGUGUGCCUGGUACUCUUGUUCAUUCGUCAUGUUCUUCUCGUGAAAACCUUAUGAGGUGGCUGUUGAUAUUCCUCCACUCGCAUGGGGAAACUGAGGCACAGACAAGUUAGGUGACUUGCUCAGAGUUGCCAGCUAGUAAGUGUCUCAGCAGGAUUUGCACCAAGUCUGAGUUCCAGAGUCUGUGCUUCACCACCACACGGGGCACGCUGUUUCUCACAAAUACCAGCUCUAAAAACCAUUUCCAUCUCCCCAGAAGACCGCCCAUACUAGGGGGGCUUAUCUUAUUUACGGUAAAAUUUUGUUAAGAUAGAAAUUUUCUAAUGGUGACAUUCACUCUCUUUUACUGUCAAGCUAUGUGAUGAAUAUGUUGUUAUUUAAAAGGUUAUGUUUAUUGUCACCACAGGCCGUGUAUCGAUAGUGGUGAAUGGGCAUAACUUCCAAACGAAGAGGGGUAUAUGCAGCUUCUGGGGUGCUUUGCCUUUCUGCUGGUAAGGUGUUCCUUCUGUCCGCAGCACGUCUGAGGUGUCAGAAGGCACGACAGUCGUCGGAUCGGAAGGACUGGAUUUGUAGACCUCUGGCUGCUCUUGUGACAUCUGUGCUGGUUACCUGAUGAAUUUUGAACCUAGGAACGCCCUUGGCCUGCUAUAGCCCAGGGACCUGAGGAAUUGGACUGUCUGUGCGCCCCCGACCAAUUCCGUGGUCUGGGAGAGCCCCCCUGAAGACGUGCGCUCUAGUCUGGCCGGAGUGUGAUGUCACACAAAUCAAGGCGCUCCAUGCACCUUCUGUUUAUGGUUAUAGGCAGCCCUUCCUUAAAAGCCCUUGGCGAUAUUAGUAUUUUAGUUGUUUAAAGUCCCCAUUAGCCUGAAUUUUUAGUGAAAUGUCUAAUUCACUGUGGCAUCUAUUAAAC
rnacentral:lncRNA from 1 species